UGGGCCCGAGUUUGAUCAUGGCUCAGAAUCAACGCUGGCGGCGUGCCUAACACAUGCAAGUCGAACGCGAAAGUCCCGCAAGGGAUGAGUAGAGUGGCAAACGGGUGAGUAACGCGUGGGUGACCUGCCUUCGAGCGGGGGAUAACGUUUCGAAAGGAACGCUAAUACCGCAUAACAUCCUGCCUUUGAACAGGUGGAGAUCAAAGCUGGGGAUUCGCAAGAACCCGGCACUUGAAGAGGGGCCCGCGUCUGAUUAGCUAGUUGGUGAGGUAACGGCUCACCAAGGCGACGAUCAGUAUCCGGCCUGAGAGGGCGGACGGACACACUGGGACUGAGACACGGCCCAGACUCCUACGGGAGGCAGCAGUGGGGAAUUGUUCGCAAUGGGCGCAAGCCUGACGACGCAACGCCGCGUGGAGGAUGAAGAUUUUCGGAUCGUAAACUCUGGUCGAAUGGGACGAAAAGGUCACGGUCUAAUACUCCGUGAUCCUGACGGUACCGUUAAAGGAAACCCCGGCUAACUCCGUGCCAGCAGCCGCGGUAA
rnacentral:rRNA from 1 species